CCGGGUCUUCCCCGAAGUAAACGACAUUUAUUUGGAGGUUCUGCCCUUGAGGCGUGGCUUCCGGAGCUAACGCGUUAAAUCGUCCGCGUGGGGAGUGCGGCCGCAAGGUUAAAACUCAAAUGAAUUGACGGGGGCCCGCACAAGCGGUGGAGCAUGUGGUUUAAUUCGAUGCAACGCGAAGAACCUUACCUACUCUUGACAUCCAGAGAACUUUCCAGAGAUGGAUUGGUGCCUUCGGGAACUCUGAGACAGGUGCUGCAUGGCUGUCGUCAGCUCGUGUUGUGAAAUGUUGGGUUAAGUCCCGCAACGAGCGCAACCCUUAUCCUUUGUUGCCAGCGGUUCGGCCGGGAACUCAAAGGAGACUGCCAGUGAUAAACUGGAGGAAGGUGGGGAUGACGUCAAGUCAUCAUGGCCCUUACGAGUAGGGCUACACACGUGCUACAAUGGCGUAUACAAAGAGAAGCGACCUCGCGAGAGCAAGCGGACCUCAUAAAGUACGUCGUAGUCCGGAUUGGAGUCUGCAACUCGACUCCAUGAAGUCGGAAUCGCUAGUAAUCGUAGAUCAGAAUGCUACGGUGAAUACGUUCCCGGGCCUUGUACACACCGCCCGUCACACCAUGGG
rnacentral:rRNA from 1 species